rnacentral:rRNA from 1 species
GACGAACGCUGGCGGUGUGCUUAACACAUGCAAGUCGAACGGUAAGGCCCUUUCGGGGGUACACGAGUGGCGAACGGGGGAGUAACACGUGAGUAACCUGCCUUCAUCUCUGGGAUAACAGUCGGAAACGGUUGCUAAUACUGGAUAUGAGCUUGCAAGGCAUCUUGUGGGUUGGAAAGAUUUUUUUUGGUUGGGGAUGGACUCGCGGCCUAUCAGCUUGUUGGUGAGGUAGUGGCUCACCAAGGCUUCGACGGGUAGCCGGCCUGAGAGGGCGACCGGCCACAUUGGGACUGAGAUACGGCCCAAACUCCUACGGGAGGCAGCAGUGGGGAAUAUUGCACAAUGGACGGAAGUCUGAUGCAGCAACGCCGCGUGCGGGAUGACGGCCUUCGGGUUGUAAACCGCUUUCAAUUGUGACGAAGCGUUUUUGUGACGGUAGCAGUAGAAGAAGCACCGGCUAACUACGUG